CCUACGGGUGGCAGCAGUGAGGAAUAUUGGUCAAUGGACGAGAGUCUGAACCAGCCAAGCCGCGUGCAGGAUGACUGCCCUAUGGGUUGUAAACUGCUUUUAUACAGGAAUAAAACGCGGCACGUGUGCCGUUUUGCAUGUACCUUAUGAAUAAGGAUCGGCUAACUCCGUGCCAGCAGCCGCGGUAAUACGGAGGAUCCGAGCGUUAUCCGGAUUUAUUGGGUUUAAAGGGUGCGUAGGUGGGUUGUUAAGUCAGUUGUGAAAGUUUGGGGCUCAACCGUGAAACUGCCAUUGAUACUGGCAGACUUGAGUACAGUUGAGGUAGGCGGAAUGCGUGGUGUAGCGGUGAAAUGCUUAGAGAUCACAAAGAACCCCGAUUGCGAAGGCAGCUUACUAAACUAUAACUGACGUUGAGGCACGAAAGUGUGGGUAGCAAACAGGAUUAGAUACCCGGGUAGUC
rnacentral:rRNA from 1 species